GAAAUGCGAUAAGUAAUGUGAAUUGCAGAAUUCAGUGAAUCAUCGAAUCUUUGAACGUACAUUGCGCCCGCCAGUAUUCUGGCGGGCAUGCCUGUUCGAGCGUCAUUUCAACCAUCAAGCCCCCGGCUUGUGUUGGGGACCUGCGGCUGCCCGCAGGCCCUGAAAAACAGUGGCGGGCUCGCUGUCACACCGAGCGUAGUAGCAUACAUUCUCGCUCAGGGCGUGCUGCGGGUUCCGGCCGUUAAACGACCUUCAUAACCCAAGGUUGACCUCGGAUCAGGUAGGAAGACCCGCUGAACUUAAGC
rnacentral:misc_RNA from 1 species